UAUAUACAUAUGUAUAUAUAUAUUUAUAUAUAUUUAACAUACAUAUUGUUAUAAGUUCCUCUAAUGCAGUCUCGUGUUGUAAAAUCAAAUUAGUAUUACGAAUUCUGUGGUCAUACAACAAUGGAAGUUACAAAAAAAUACCUAUGUAAAGAAUAAGAAGUCACAUUUUAUAAGUUUUGCCACCUCUGAAACGGAAAGCGAGAUACAUGUGGCAUUAUUGUAGAGAGAUAUGUGAAAGAAAUAAUGUAAAAUAUAAGGUAAAGUACGUAACACAAGCACGAUACAAACUAAGCGCUUGUUCCGAAACCCGUGGAUCCAACACAUCGUGUGCAUACAUAUUGUAAAAUUAUUGAUGAAUAAACAGUGGAAGUAUCAAAGAUAUAUAUCUAUAUACUUUGUAUAAAAUCUAAAAUUCUCUUUUAAAAUCGCAGUUAUUUUGCGGCAUAAUAUUUUAAAAAUAUUCUGCUCACUUUAAUGUUUUAUUCUGCUACCGUAUUAUACUUUUAAUAUUAAAAAAAUUGCACGAUUACAAAAAGUUUGAAGUAAAACAUAAAUUUCCUAAAUAUAUGUGGUAUCAUACGGUAAAUAAAACGACAUAUUGUAUGUUAAUAUUUAUUAUGUAUGUACAAAGAUGUGUAAAUAUGUCUUAUGAGAUACAUUUCUUUUUUUGUACGUAUGUAUCAUAUUAAGACGAAUUUGGAUCAUGAUGAAAGAAUAAGAAGAAGAACGAUUUAAAUUAUAACACAUUCGUAAGGGAAUUGCCCUUGGAAAAGUAAAUUGUCCGCUUGUGGACAACCUGUAACAUAUAAUUGUUCAUAUUAAUUUUCUUUUUUUUUUCUUAUAUGUCAUAAUAUCAUGUUGAAAAAAAACUCAAAAAAUGCGAAGGUUUCUCAAUAUUAAAUAACAUCUAAUUUUUUUCUUUCACCGAAAUAUCCUUUGUUUACUAAUCCUAUUCACUUUCAAUAUGCGAAGAGGCACAAUAUUCACUAUAUAAAAUUGAAAUUGCGAAAAUUAAAUUGCUGUUAUUGGAAUUACUAACGUGUCUCGCAAUAAGUGCCGUAGAAUCCAGUUCCUUCGCAGCGGCAUUUAAAUCCGGGCUCCGAUGAUAUUUGGGAACAUGAGCCUUCGUUCAGACAAGGCUUCGAUCGAGAACAUAUGUCGCUACGUCCUCCUGCAGAGAUAAGUUAAGUAAUUCUUACACGAGUGUUAAACAAUCAACUAAAAUGUGUGAGUACCUAAUAUAUAUAAUAUACUUCCUUUUCUUUAUUCUUCGUAAUAUGAUAAAAUGUUCAAAGAAUAUGGAAAGUACAUCCUCAACACAUAAUUGAUUAUAUAUGUAUAUUAUAGAUUUAACAGAUUACCUUUCAGCGCUAGCUUGCAAUCAUCAUUGUUAUUAUAUCUGUAUUCAGAUUUGCAGCCGUAGCCGCAACUGCAUUGUGCAUUGUAGAUGCGACAUCCGUAUCGCAUCUGAUCCAACUCGCAUCCCUCGGACAAUAUAACUGCUGGCAAAAAGCUUGGUAUUAAUCACACCGCAUUGAAUAAGCUUAUUUCAACUAUUUAAAUGAAGAGACACAUAUAUAAGUGAAUGUAUUACAGACGCAAUAGAAGUAUCUGUAGUUUAUUUAUCCCAGAAGAGGAGAUAGUGAUACGUUAGCAGAGGCAAAUGUUUGCACCGGAUGUGGCUGACUGUACUUCCCACUUGUCUAAAUUGAUAAGUGUUUCACGAGAGGAUACCUCGCGUGCGUGGGUUAAUCGAUUUUUAGAUUAUCACUUUUCUUAUCACGCGUGCGAUAGCGAUUUCUUUAUUCUGUCCAAUGUAUGGAUAUAUUGCAGCGACAUAUAUAUAUAUAUAUAUAUAUAUAUAUAUAUAUACUGUAAUUUUUAUUAAUUUAAGUAAACACUUCGCGCGUGCAUUUCUUCAGUCGCGUUUAUUCAAGAGUUAAAUUGUUAAUUACGAACGAUACGGUUUAUUGUGACGGUAUAAUCAGAAAAAAAGAAAAAAAGGCGUAUGCGGGAUGUUAAGCAU